rnacentral:rRNA from 1 species
GAUGAACGCUGGCGGCGUGCCUAAUACAUGCAAGUCGAGCGAACAGAUGAGGAGCUUGCUCCUCUGACGUUAGCGGCGGACGGGUGAGUAACACGUGGAUAACCUACCUAUAAGACUGGGAUAACUUCGGGAAACCGGAGCUAAUACCGGAUAAUAUAUUGAACCGCAUGGUUCAAUAGUGAAAGACGGUUUUGCUGUCACUUAUAGAUGGAUCCGCGCCGCAUUAGCUAGUUGGUAAGGUAACGGCUUACCAAGGCAACGAUGCGUAGCCGACCUGAGAGGGGGGUCGGCCACCCUGGAACUUGUACACGGUCCAGACUCCUACGGGAGGCAGCAGUAUGGAAUCUUCCGCAGUGGGCGAAAGCCUUACGGAGCAACGCCGCGUGAGAGAUGAAGGUCUUCGGAUCGUAAAACUCUGUUAUUAGUGAAGAACAAAUGUGUAAGUAACUAUGCACGUCUUGACGGUACCUAAUCAGAAAGCCACGGCUAACUACGUG